rnacentral:rRNA from 1 species
UACAGAGGUCCCAAGCGUUGUUCGGAUUCACUGGGCGUAAAGGGUGCGUAGGUGGUCAGGUAAGUCGGAUGUGAAAUCUCCGAGCUCAACUCGGAAACUGCAUUGGAAACUACCUGGCUCGAGGGUUGGAGGGGGGACUGGAAUGCUUGGUGUAGCAGUGAAAUGCGUAGAUAUCCGGAGGAACACCGGUGGCGAAGGCGGCUUCCUGGACCGACACUGACGCUGAGGCGCGAAAGCUAGGGGAGCAAACGGG